rnacentral:other from 1 species
AUUACCCUACCGUGUUCGUGAUGAGUAGUUUAAUCUUGAGCCAACACCUAAGUACAGGGAACCGGAAGCUUCUCUCGAGUGCAAGCCCCUCUCUGAAGGGGUAGCCAGGUAUGAGUUGCGAGGCACCCACUUGAGUUCUUAGGUUCAGAGAGGACUUCUCACACGGCACAAUGGUAGGGUUUUU